AUUGAACGCUGGCGGAAUGCUUUACACAUGCAAGUCGAACGGCAGCACGGGGCAACCUGGUGGCGAGUGGCGAACGGGUGAGUAAUACAUCGGAACGUGCCCAAUCGUGGGGGAUAACGUAGCGAAAGUUACGCUAAUACCGCAUACGAUCUACGGAUGAAAGCGGGGGAGUCGCAAGACCUCGCGCGAAUGGAGCGGCCGAUGUCAGAUUAGGUAGUUGGUGGGGUAAAGGCUCACCAAGCCGACGAUCUGUAGCUGGUCUGAGAGGACGACCAGCCACACUGGGACUGAGACACGGCCCAGACUCCUACGGGAGGCAGCUAGNGGGUAAUUUGACAAUGGGCGCAAGCCUGAUCCAGCCAUUCCGCGUGCAGGAUGAAGGCC
rnacentral:rRNA from 1 species